UUUUAAAGUACAAUCCACAAUAUUAAAGGUCGUUAUUCUUCAUCCGUAAACCUACAAAGUUACCUGGAGGUGGCUUCAUAAAAAAACAUGUUUAAUGGGCCCUUUUCAAAGGUAAUCACGAAUCAAAUCAAACCUUGGAUGCCAUAAUCAAUGGGCUCUUGCUUCUCCCUUCUCGACACUCUUCCGUUCAUUUUGCUUUGCCGGCUAUCCAUUGUUGUGGUUUGUUGGCGACACGAAGCAAUUCCAUUCAAUCCGAGCCACGUCACCGCAUCUGGAAAAAAGCAACGCAGGUGACGCCCACUGGAAUCCCACACACACUGCCACGUGGGCCUAAACGCAUCCCGGGCCCGCCAGCCAGCCUCCUCCAACCCCGCCAUCGCUGGUGCCUCCGUCCGUUCACGCCGAAAGCGCGGCCGGUGUGCGUCCAGGCUAGCACUAGCGCAGCAGGCAAGCCGGCGCCGCGCGGGCCGGGCCCACCCACGUGACGCCCCCGCCCGCGGGCCUCCUGGUGGUGGGCUGGGGGGCGGGGGUCCGCGAGGACGACGACGACUCGUAGGCCGGCUAGACCGCGGCCGUCACGCGGGGGGUGGUGGUGGCCCACGUGGCGGCCACACGCGGCGCGCCGUGGACCUGCCGGGGCCCACCGGUGAGCGGGGCGCACACGCCGUCCCAAGCUGUCGCACGCGACGCGCCCCCUGCCCGCCCCGCUUUUCAUUACCCUGCGUUUUGCGCCUAGGCCCCUCUGGUUUGUUCUAUUUAUUGUUUCAUGCGCUCGCUCCAGGUCCAGAAGGCCGUCGGUCAACGUUUCUUGCUGAAAUGCUGACUGCGGUGGCCGGCACACGGUUAAUGGACAUGGACCCAACUUCGGACCCUUUUGAUUCGAUGGAGAGAGACUUUUUUCUUCUUUUGAGCGAUUGAUGGAGAGGGACUCGUUGGGGGGGGGGAUGAGCAAAUGGAGUUGAAAGUUGUUUCCACAUGUAAUGUAAUUCAUUCAUUUUUUUAUUGACUCUACUCAUCAAGCUCGGAACUGUAUAGCUCUUCGUGGUGUAUUUGCUGCCAGUACGUAGUAUUUUUGUUGCUAUUUGCUGUGCAAAUUUUUUUUGAAAAAAUUGAUCUUUCUUAGAAUAAGUUAAUAUAAGCUGUACAUCGUGCAGCUAAUGAUGUGAUCUAUAAUCAUUAUGAUACACUACUGGGAAAUUGGAUGAAACCUAGAUAAGGUUUUAAGGGAAUUUCUAGCCAGUGGUGGUAGAGGCGCAUGGUCAAUCACUCAAUUGGUAGCGACAAGGCCAUGCUACAAAACUUCAGGGUGUAAUCUGUAAAAAGGACAAUCUUUUAGUACAUUGAAAAUUUUUCCUUAAUCCCUAGCUUCCAGACUCCUCUUCCUCUCCCGGCCGUGUUCUCCCCUCCAACUGAGAUCACUGCGCGUGCCGCCCGCGCCAUGGCCCCGACACCGCCGCCGCCGCCGCCGCCGCCGUCUCCGCUGCCCGCAAUACACUAGCGACGCGUCUCCAGGCAGCUCCGGCCGAUCUAGGUUUGUGCGUGCGACCGCUUGCUUAUCCACCCCUUUCUCAUCACACCGUCGAUGUGUGAUCUUCCGGCUGCAGAUUGCAUCUCUUCCUCCUUUUCGCCCGGGCAGAAUGUUCUUUCCUUGCUCGCUUGGUUGCGUUUUGUGUCGAAAGGCGCGAUCUUUACGCUCGGAAUGGCGUUUCCGCAGGAAGGAGGAAUUUUUUCUCGCCUUUUUCCCCUCAGCCUGUGUUGAGGAAUACAGGCUUGGAUUUGCUGAGGAUUGGGAGGAGAAGGAUAAUAGAGUGAAGGACGCGGGGGAAGAAGAUGGCAUCGGAAAUGGUGAAGGCGGCGACGAGCGACAAGCUCAAGGAGAUGGAUUGGGCAAAAAACAUCGAAAUCUGCGAGCUCGUGGCGCAGGAUCCUGGGUAUGGUUGCCAUUCCCUCUUCCCCUAGAUUUGUCGUUUGGAAUCAUUGGUUAGCAAGCAGCACUGCAACUUUGCUGGCUGAAGGUUCGGACAACGAAUUCGAUGUGGACACUAUUUUUUUACGAUUUCUUUUGAGUGCACGGCGAGUUUAUCUGGAGGAGCUAUCAGUUCUUCGUUGCCAGUUGGCUACGAUUUUGUUUACGCACGUAGUGGUUCAUAGGUUGCCAUUUGGAAAGAGUGUAUUUUGUUUUCUUGGAUGAUUUGUUAAUUUUUUUUUUGUUCCUGUUGCUGUCGCCAGAAAAGCUAAGGAUGUGAUCAAGUCUAUAAAGAAGUGUAUAGGGGGCAGGAGCAAGAGCACUCAACUCCACGCUGUUAUGGUGAGUUAUUUUUCACUGAAGUAGCCCUCUGGUGUCCUGAUCCUUGCAUCAACCCCAGCACUAUAAGUAGCUAGAUUAGACACAGGAACACACUCCUUGUAUUUGUUCAUAGACCAUAGACAUCUAAGAAGACUUGCACACAUAGUCGCACACAAAAGAAAACUCCAUGAAUCCUAAAAUGGUUAGUUGCUAAUGGUUAGGACCGUGCUAUCCCGCGAUGGGUCACACAACCCUAGCCUCCGCCACUCUACUGCCGCACUGGGUCCAGAUGAUGUCAGUGAUAUGUCAGUUAGGGGAAAUGCUAGUACAUUUUCUUUAAAUGAGCAUAACUCACUCAUCAAGUGUCCGUUUUUAAUUCCGUUUGCGCCAUUGUGUUCCAUUGAGAUCUACAAAGCAAGAUCCAUACCUGAUAUAUUUCGAUGCUGUUUUAUACGACUGGCAACUUAUGGACAAACUGUGUAGCAACUUAUAAACAAAAUAGUGGUAUUAUCAGUCAACUUAUAUGGAGUAACUUAUAUAGAGAACAUGUGGUAACUUAUAUGUUAUAUUAAUUAUAACUCACACAGAGUCAAUGUAAUAGCUUCUUCGGAGCUAAUGUAUCCAUAUAUACAGAGACAAGUGAGACAGCUUAAAUAGGUACCUCAAAUACGUAACUAUAUUGGGUGAAAAAAUGUAGCAAUUUAUGUAUAUAAUGUGUUGAUAGAUUUAUACAUAAGUUGCUACACACUUCAUGCAUAACUAGCUAUUAUGUAUUCAACAUAAGUUGCUAGAAUAUAAAAAAUAUAUUAAAACAUAUGCAUCAUCGAUCUAGUUUUAUAGACGUCAUCAAAACGAACGCAGUGGUGCAAAUGGAAUCGAAAACAAACACUUAAGAAGAAAGUUAUCACAUUUUAAAAGGGGAAAGGAAAAUAAAAGGUACGUGAGCCGCAGCAGUACAAAUGGGCCGCAGCAGGCCACGCGGGUCGCGCGCUCCGGUGUGAGCGCAACCCAACUCGCGCUAGCUUUUUCCUAAUGGUUACUGCUCCUUGUCUGCAGGCUUAAUUCUGAGCUUUAUGCAUUAUAUCUGGAUUUUAUUUUAAUUUAGACUGGCAUAUAAAUUUUCUGCUACAGCUGUACCUAAAUGAUCUAUCAUUUUCAACUGAGACUUUCAAUAAGCUUAUGAAAUGUGCAUCUGUGUUUAAUAUGAUUAACCUUCAGUCUUGAUUCAGAUUCAUUGCUAUUUGUUUCAGCUAUUGGAGAUGCUCAUGAAUAACUGUGGAGAGCCUAUCCACAGGCAGGUCAUUGAUAAUGGGCUUCUUCCGAUACUUGUGAAGAUAGUGAAGAAAAAGGUAACUUCUUUUUUGCUGAAUAUGGAUGAUAGUCGUGGAACCUUUACUGAUUGAUGUUGACAGAACACUAUCUCGGUUGCAGACAGAAUUACCAGUUCGAGAAAAAAUCUUUCUUUUGCUAGAUGCUACCCAAACAUCCCUUGGUGGAGCUAAAGCAAGAUUCCCUCAGUACUAUGAGGCAUACUAUGAGCUGGUGGUAGGUAUCACAUUCUACAUUAGAUUUCUUUCGCUUGAUUUCCUUAGUUUCCUUAUUGUAUUGAGAAUUCUGUUAGUGUUAUGCCAGCCUGUUGGUAUGUGGAUUUUUUUAACUAGAAUUCUUUACCUGCUCAAGGAAAAUGCUUUGAAACUAGAUAAUUAUGUGAGAAAAAUUGUAUAAAUGUCACUCAAUACUUUUGUAGUGCUGUCUUUAUUUUGGUAGUUGCGAGAUUUACUGCUUAACUACUUCUGUGACUCCAGUAUGUGUAGCAAAAUUUCUUCUCUUUGCAUAAUCUUUUGUUGUUACCUUAAAAUAGAAAGUAGCUGCUUUGGUUGCUGUAAUGUUUAUUAUGAUAUAUAGCUGAAGCUACAAUUUAUCUUGCUUCCAUAGUCUGCGGGUGUGCAAUUUUCGAAUUGCCCAAACGUUGUUGUCACGCGAACAGAAGUGCCACUCCCAGAAACGAGAACAGAACCAAAUAAUGAAAGUUUAUCUACCCGAUUGAAUGAAGCUCAGCAGGAAGUGCAUGCUCAGCCUGCUUCUGACACAAGGUUCUUUCUUCCCCUUGUCAGUGACCAUCUCUAGCCGUACUUUACAUUUAGAUUUACUCAUUUCUCAAGAUUCUUUUCGAAAUUUUGGUUCUUUUGGCUGAAAUAUGAUGUCAGUUGUGCUACAAGUUAAGCUAGCAUGUUAACAUUCCAGUAUUUCGGUAUUUACAUGGUGACCUUUUGUUUUGCUUUCCUGGUGAAAAGUGAUAUAUAACACCCAUUCUCAUGACAGUAACAGAAUUGUAGCUUUCUAGUGUACAUGCCUUGCUGCUAUAUUUCUAGAGUCACCUAUGAUGAUAUACGUCCCGUUCUCUGGUGUUCCAGCAUGUGGGGGAGUAGCUAAGCACUUAGGUGUAACUUUAAAUUUCCUUUUAUAAUGGGUGUAUCACCUCGUGUUAUCAUGAUCUGUGAUCCUUUCCAUUUUUGCUUCCUCUAAGCUAUCCUUGUUGAUUACCUUUGGUAGGAGCUAAACACAGGUUUUCAGUUGUUGAUUGCAAAAUAGAACUGCAUGGAGCAAAACAUGUUUUACACAUGCAUUUUUACCUGUAUUAAUCUUCUUUCACUUCUUCCUGUGGAAAUUUAUAGCAUGCAAUUUCUUUUCAGUCCAGGCAUGCUUAUGAUGCCUUAAUUAGCAGCUUUUCAGUCCAGGCAUACUUAGGACAACUGGACAAUGCAACAAACUUCGCCUCAUAUGUGUUGGCUGUUUUUCAAUGUUCUAACAGUGCUUUUUUUUUGUGUUUUUCAGUAUAGUCCGGAAAGCCUCUAGUGUCAUGGAAGUUUUAAGGGAUGUGCUAAAUUCUAUGGAUCCUAGACACCCUGAGGUAUGAGUUAAAUCCUUCACUGCGACAUCAGUUAUGCUAUUGAUAUCUGUAUCAUUUUCUAUUUAAAACCUUUGUAUCUUUUUGUUCUGUGGUAGCCAAAGUGCUUUUCCUCUGUAAAGAUAGUAUACUGUGUAGUCUAAUGAUCUAGUUCUGUGUUCUUGUAGGGAGCAACAGAUGAAUUUGUGUUGGAUCUUGUCGAGCAAUGUACAUUUCAGAAGCAACGAAUAAUGCACCUUGUCAUGACAUCAAGGUAUGGGUUCGGUUUUUUAGAUGUUUCAGUUUUCUUGUUGCUUUUGCAUGGAGUUGUGCCCAGUGUUUGUGGUUGUUGGAAAUCUCUCUGGUUUAUAUUUCUCUGUGGAUGUGNNNNNNNNNNNNNNNNNNNNNNNNNNNNNNNNNNNNNNNNNNNNNNNNNNNNNNNNNNNNNNNNNNNNNNNNNNNNNNNNNNNNNNNNNNNNNNNNNNNNCUCAUAUUUGAUGUCCACCCGUCGCUUCCUAGGCGUGAAGCAUUGGUAUCAAAGGCUAUAGAGCUAAAUGAAGAACUACAUAAGGUCCUUGUGCGGCAUGAUGCAUUGCUUUCAGUUCAACCGACCACAGCAGUAGCUUCUAAUCCGGAGGAAGAGGAGGAAGAAGAUGCUGAAAGUCUCUAUCGGAGGUACGAUCUUUCACUCUUUCUUCUGACAAUGUUGGAUGGCAGACUCUUACCGAAUUCUUUUUCCCUACUGACACAGACUAAGGAAGGGGAAAGCUCUAUCUCAAGAUUACACAGAUGAUUCCGUGCCGUCAUUCCGAUCCAUACCUGAUGACAAGAUGCGGCGGCCGUUGACCAUCCAGCCUCCUCUCCCCGACAAGAAGCUGGGUGCACUGAACAUCCGUUCACCGGACCGGGAGGAGCCGAGACCCGAACUUGCUC
rnacentral:lncRNA from 1 species